rnacentral:lncRNA from 1 species
GGGGUAAUGAAAUGGCAAUUGGAUCUUUCCGUAUUGUCUCUUCCAUCUUUUUCUCUAAGUCGGCAACAUUUGGAAUAUUAAACAUGCGCUUCUCUGCGGCAAUUGAUACGGCAACAACAUGAAUGACGUCAUGCAUUUUAACUUCAUCUUCAGCAUCACCGUCCAACAAUAAGCAUGAAGAUUUGAGGUUGUCGAUCAACCGAUGCACUCUACUCCUUGCUUCUUCCAAUGUGUAAACAUUUUCAAACAAACCCCAACCCACACCAUAUCUCAAUAAGUCAGAAACUUGUAUGGCAUGACCUUCACUGUAUAGACCACAAAGACGGAACAGAGAUUUUGCCUCCUCACUUUCCAAGAAGUCAUGACUCAAUUUUAUGGAGGUGUACACAUUUGCUUGCAUGCCAUGAAUUUCUCUUGCAUCCGAUCUUCUUAGCUGAUUCAAUGCAUCUUUCCAAAAGUCACGCUCCUUAGUUUUCAGAGCAUUUGCAACUGUACUCAGUGCAACAGGCAAACCUCCGCAUCUUUCAAUGAUCUCAUUUGCUAUACUUUGAAAAGCAGAUAUUUUAGUUGAAUCACCCACUAUCUUCUCAAAUAACUGCAAUGCUUCUUCUUUUGAUAAAGCAUCGAUCCAGAAAUUUUUCUGAGAAUUCAUAUCAAUGCACAAUAAAUCUCGACUUCUAGACGUCAAUAUUAUUGUGCAUCUUCUCUGAUCAUCCUCUCUAUCUUUCUCAUCAACAUCUCCAGAAGGAAUUCCAACCGCAUCUAACUCAAGUUUUGUCCAAAUAUUAUCCAAUAUAAUGAGGACCCGCUUCUCUUGCUUCAACCUUUCACGCAGUCGUAUAGCUUUGCAAUUCCACAGAGACCAAAUCCUGUGGUAGAAUUUCGGCAUCCCGAACGUGUAUCUCCAAAGUAGUUAGCUUUGACAACCCCUUCAACUCAACAAGACUGGCGUUACUUCCUCCUUCAACCUUCUCCCACUGUGAAAAGCUGUUACUCAUAUAUAGUUCUUCUAAUCGAGAUAAUUUUGAUAUGACAUUUGGAGCUAUCACCACAAGGCUGCUACAAUUGCUCAAAUCUAGCAACUGUAAUCUCGUCAAUUGUCCAAUUACAAGUGGCAACUCCUUAACAUCAGAAUCUCGAAGGCUGAGAAUCUCUAAUUUCUUUAGCUGUCCAACUAUUGCUAUAUCUUUUAGUCCGCAACCAUCUAAACAAAAUGUUUGAAGGUUAAUGAGGCGACCAAGUGAUGAAGGUAAUGAAGAGAAAGGAAUUCUAGUAAGACUUAACACUUUGAGUUCUUCUGUCCCUUCAAAAAAGAGGUCUGAAAUUUGCAUAGGGCCAUAACCCUUUCCAAACAACAAAAAUAACUGGAGAUUGGGACAUUGCAACCUUUCAGGGAGCUCUUGGAUAUCUCUAUGAGGCAAUGAAAUAGCAAUUGGUCCUUUCUGUUUCGUCUCUUCCAUCUUUUUCUCAACGUCAGCAACAUUUGGAAUAUUAAACAUGCGCUUCUCUGCGGCAAUUGAUACGGCAACAACAUGAAUGACGUCAUGCAUUUUAACUUCAUCUUCAGCAUCACCGUCCAACAAUAAGCAUGAAGAUUUGAGAUUGUCGAUCAACCGAUGCACUCUACUCCUUGCUUCUUCCAAUGUGUAAACAUUUUCAAACAAACCCCAACCCACGCCAUAUCUCAAUAAGUCAGAAACUUCUAUGGCAUCACCUUCACUGUACAGACCACAAAGACGGAACAAAGAUUUUGCCUCCGCACUUUCCAAGAAGUCAUAACUCAAUAUUAUGGAG